rnacentral:lncRNA from 1 species
ACAGAUAUAAGCAAAUAAGAGAAGAAGGAACCUCGAAAUAGCUUUAGAGUUUCUUAGAAAUUCUAUAAAUGAGAAAGCUUGGAAAAGGUCUGGUCUCAAACAGGUUUGAGCCGUAGCUAGGCUCUUAAGGCUUAAAAACGUCAGCAUAAAUCGGUGGAGGAUCUGAAGAUGCAUCGUUGAGGUCGAACCUCAAAACCUUGAACAACCAGGUCCUGGAGGUUAAAGCAUGUGAGAACAUGCUGUCCAUGGCUUCAGAAUCUAUGGACAUCGCUGAAGAUUGAUCGGAGAUGGCGACGAAGAUGAUUAGGGUUUCGAGGGCUAUAGAGCGUUUGAGAAGAGGAAGA